AUGUACUUGUUUAGGAAGGUUUUCACUUUUUACAGCUCACAUCUUUCAGAGCGACCACAUGGAGAGAAAGAAUGGGAGACUGUCAGACAGCAGCAUCUUGAAAUAACCUUUCCCAUCAAUGAGAUGCAGAGGUGUCAGCCAGAUAGAGCUCUGUUGACCCAGGUUCAACCAGAAGGCAAUGGCACCCCACUCCAGUACUCUUGCCUGGAAAAUCCCAUGGACCAAGGAGCCUGGUGGGCUGCAGUCCAUGGGGUCGCGAAGAGUCGGACACAACUGAGCGACUUCCCUUUCACUCUUUACUUUCAUGCAUUGGAGAAGGAAAUGGCGACCCACUCCAGUGUUCUUGCCUGGAGAAUCCCAGGGACGGUGGAGCCUGGUGGGCUGCCGUCUAUGGGGUCGCACAGAGUCGGACACCACUGA
rnacentral:lncRNA from 1 species